rnacentral:rRNA from 1 species
GAUGAACGCUGGCGGCGUGCUUAACACAUGCAAGUCGAACGGUGAAGGCGGAGCUUGCUCUGCUGGAUCAGUGGCGAACGGGUGAGUAACACGUGAGCAAUCUGCCCCUGACUCUGGGAUAAGCGCUGGAAACGGCGCCUAAUACUGGAUACGAGCUGCGAAGGCAUCUUCAGCAGCUGGAAAGAAUUUCGGUCAGGGAUGAGCUCGCGGCCUAUCAGCUUGUUGGUGAGGUAAUGGCUCACCAAGGCGUCGACGGGUAGCCGGCCUGAGAGGGUGACCGGCCACACUGGGACUGAGACACGGCCCAGACUCCUACGGGAGGCAGCAGUGGGGAAUAUUGCACAAUGGGCGAAAGCCUGAUGCAGCAACGCCGCGUGAGGGACGACGGCCUUCGGGUUGUAAACCUCUUUUAGCAGGGAAGAAGCGAAAGUGACGGUACCUGCAGAAAAAGCGCCGGCUAACUACGUG